UACGUAGGGGGCAAGCGUUGUCCGGAAUCAUUGGGCGUAAAGCGCGCGUAGGCGGCCCGGUAAGUCCGCUCUGAAAGUCCAGGGCUCAACCCUGGAAAGCGGGUGGAUACUGCCGGGCUAGAAUCCGGAAGAGGCGAGUGGAAUUCCUGGUGUAGCGGUGGAAUGCGCAGAGAUCAGGAGGAACACCCGUGGCGAAGGCGGCCCUCUGGCUCGACCCUGACGCUGAGAGGCGAAAGCGUGGGGAGCGAACGGG
rnacentral:rRNA from 1 species